UACGGGGGGGGGCAAGCGUUUGUUCGGAAUUACUGGGCGUAAAGGGCUCGUAGGCGGCCUUCUAAGUCGGACGUGAAAUCUCUCGGCUUAACCGAGGAACUGCGUCCGAUACUGAAAGGCUUGAAUCCGGGAGAGGGAUGUGGAAUUCCAGGUGUAGCGGUGAAAUGCGUAGAUAUCGGAAGGAACAUCAGUGGCGAAAGCGGCUUCCUGGUCCAGCACCGACGUUCAGGCACGAAAGCGUGGGGAGCAAACAGG
rnacentral:rRNA from 1 species